UGUGACCUAUAUAUGAAAAUAUGGAACGAAUUUCCAGCAGCAUUCAAUUGUUUCCUCUGCCAUACCAGUCGAACAGCAGAUAACACGCAGCUCAACUGAUAGCAGAACGAUCUCGUAGGUACAGUGCUAUGUAUGUAGAUAUAUCGUAAGGCUAGGAUGGUGGUGAAUUUCACUGCCGAUGGCAAUAUAGCAGUAAGAGAAGGAGCUGACUCUCUCAGAGCCCGAGAUAUAUCAUCGCACCGCGCCGAUCGAGGUCGUGUGAUGACGAUUAGAAUUAAGAUUUCAGUUGCAAGUAAACAACCCACCUACCGUGUGUGGAGGAUCCGCGCGAGGUCAAUUUUAUCCGUUUUUGUGUAUAGCCCUAAGUUCAAUGUUAAAUUAAAUGUAAUAAAUAAAUAUGUUAGUGAAAUUAUUCCUAUGAAUAAAUGUAGUGUUGUGCCUAAAAUGUCGCGUGUGUGUUGAUUUGUUCGUGAGAAAAGUGUCCUUGAUAGGCAGACAAUUGGCAAUUGGAAGGCAAUUGAAUUGCGCCACCAAAAAUAAUCCCUUCAAGUGUUGGAGAGCCAGGAAAUUUAUCGAAGGUAUAGAAGGGCAAGUCGGUUCCUCAACAUUUUUGGUCCUACGAACCGGAUGAUUGGACCCUGGUGAGGAUUUGAAAAGGACUAAACUGGAUAACGAAGCCUGCGGCAGGCUCGGAUUGGCGCCAUCACAAGUAGACUGCAUUGUUAAUCGCUAUACCUCUACAUAAGAAGUGAAGUCGCCAUCGCACCUGGAAUUUUGGCACAAUUGAUUCCACGCCAUCAUAGAACAACACUACAAAGGACAUCCAAGGAUAAAGCACCGAUCCUCCAUCGCAUCUAGGCAGAAAAAACUUCGUUUUUGGACAUGAAUCGAUUGUCUUGUUUCCACAGUUAUCUUUAACGGACGGACUCGGGCAAAAACAAUCUUCGGAUCACGGUAUUUAAGCCUUUGGACCAUAGGACGGACAACUGAUCCAGCACAGGAUUUACUUUUCCAGGUAAAUAUAUUUUAGAUCAGUGUAUGUCCAGCCUUUUUGCUAGUGUCUCCGCAAUACUAACGCCCAAAUUUCGACGUAUUUCCUCUACAAUAUCUAUUAUGCACUGAGCUGGAAGGAAGGAACUCACAUACGAACAUCAGUUUGUCAAUCCAACGGGAUAUUUGGAACCUGAAAGCGGACAAGGACAUCACCCCGUGAGGCCAAACUUCAUUCUGGUCGUCUGAGCCGAGAAUAGCUAUUUUCGUGAGAUGGAUUGACGCAUGGCAGGAAGAGGCGGCAUCAAGUCUUGUUUUGUUGGUGAGCUACAACAGUAUAUGUCCGCCGAAGCUAGUCUCUGUAUACUACAGUUGGUUUCCUCCUCAUCUUUCCUUAUUGGUUGAACGAGUACGUACUGUGCUACAACAAUUGGUGGUGCGUCACAACGGAA